UUCCAUCCACCCAAAGUUCCGCCAGCUACUCCUCAACGUCCCAAGCUCCUCCAUUUUCCAGCUCCCCGCCGUCAAGCUCCGGUGUGCCGCUAUUUCCAUCCGCCGGCCGCCGUCAUCCAAUCCCCAAGGUGAGCUCCUAAAUCGGCUUUUCCUUCUCGAUUGGCGGGCCUAGGGGUGUCCUGCGAAGGUGUGGGAGCUGUUGGGGAAGUCGGGGGAAUAGCUUGUGCCGCCUCCGUGCGCCGCCAUGACCGGCCGACGGCCAAGCCGUGGCCGCCCGUGGAGGGGCCGGCUCGGGCCGCCUCCCGGCGAGCUGCGGCUGGGCGCGGGUGCGCCGGGUCUGGGCGCCGCCGCCCCGUCUCGCUCGAGCCGCCGGAGAGCCACCAUCGGCCGGGCUGCCCCGUCCUUCUCCUGCCGGCGUGCGCCCGGCCUUGGUCGGGGGAGGAAGAAGCCCCCUGACCAAGGGGGCCGCCCGUCAGCCGCACAGGAGGGAGGGAAAUAAAAGGAUAAGGGCCGGCAGCCAUUUUGGGCCGAGGAAAAGGCGCCGGCCCAGCUAAGCGCGCGCGGCAUAGAGAAGAAGGGGAAGGCCGGUGGGCCGUUUAUUGGCUUAAAGAAAGAAAUGGGCCAUGAAGCCCAGGUUGGAGUGGGAGAGGAAAAGAAGAGGGCCAGCUACCGUCUUGGGCCGGGGGAAAGCGCGGGCCCAGCUAGCCGCUCGGUGUAAAGGAGGAAGGGAGAUCCGGUGGGCUGUCCGAGGGAUUUGAAAGGAAAAUGGACCGUGCGGCCCAGGUGGAGUGCAAAAGAAGAAAGAAAGGGGGGAAAGGUGGGCCGGCGGGUGAGAGGGAGACCCUGGGCCGGAUUAGUAGGCCGAGUAUCAAAGGGAGAAAAGAAAUAAAAGGUGGGCCGGCCGGGGUUGAGAAAAAAAAAAGAGAGAGAAGGCUGCCGCAAAAGGCCACGCAUGGAAGGUUAAGUUGACGGGCCACCUUUUGGCCCGAGGAAGGGUGCCGACCGUGGGCCCCACGUGUUAGUGAAGAAAAGAAGAAGAAGAAUAGGAGACCGGAUGGGCCCUAGGUGGAAGUGAUAGUGGGUAGAAGAAGGUUGGGUAAGAAAAGUUUGGGCCGGGGGUUUUUAUUAAAUCUUAGGUUUUCUUUUAUUAGAUAAAUAGAUUAAAUGCUGCUUUCACCAUUUAAUUCACAGGAAAUUCUAGAAGUGCCCAAAAUUAGUGAAACCAAUUUUAUUAGGGUUGUUUUAUUUUCCGUUAUGCAUUAAAAUUCUUAAACCCUAGGAAAAAUAAUAAAAAUUUAGGUAUUUAUUUAAUGCCUUUUUAUGUAAGGUAUUUAAAUAAAUGCUUAAACUUUAUUAAAUGUAUAAAACUUGAAAAUGCUUUAUUAUCCACAAAUUAUUAGUAAUUCAUAGGAAUUAGGUUUUUGAGAUUAGAAAGUUAUCAUAAUGCUUUUAAAAAAAAUAAAUAAAAAGGUCUAAGAUAGGAUUAGUAAAGGAAAUAAAAAUGGUGGGUUAAUCUUUAGGGUUUUUGUGUGUUGGCUUGCAACUUUAUCAUGAUAAAUUGUAUAGUCCUUGUUGGAUUGCAACUUUAUCAUGAAGGAAAGUUGUAUAGUCUUGUAUUCAAAAGUUUGCAUCUCUAACUCUUGCAUAUACUGAAUCGUAGACGUCACAACUCCUGAAGUGGAAUUCAUGGAAUUCAGCUGGAGAUGGACAGCGUUCGCGAAGUGUGGAAUGCCUCUUUUAAUAAAGAAGUUUUCCGAAGAACUAACCUUUGUUGAUCCCAGGCAAGCCCCGGUGCAUUUAUACCUAUCUAUUUUAGAGUCGUUAUUUCAUGUGACUAGUUAUAGAUUAUUGUCUAUUGUAUGCACUAAGUCUAGGAGUUGAAUGAAACCUAUUCUUGUGUAUGAUCAUGCCUUGUUUUAAGGACAUCUUUGCCACUUGUUCAAAUCUUAGAAACUACCCAAGUCUAGAAGUGCUUACUUGCUUACAUGAUCGGUUUACCAACCUUAAGGAAAACUCUUAAGUCAUACAUGUUGCUUAUGAAGGACAGUUUGGAAUAUGGAAAGGGACAGAAGCUAGAGAUGUAGUUCUGUCUGUUAGAUUAAUCUGGUUAAGGACCGAUCCGUGUCUUAACCAUUGAUCAAGUGAUAACCUCUGAUCACUUACUGGGUAUGGGACCAGUAAAGCCCAGUAGAUUAGUAAAUUCUAUGAUCAGGAAUGCUUCGUACCCGCAUUUGACGUGCUGGAGAUUGGCAGGGGUGUAGCCUGAAACUCACAUGGAGAUCAGGCCAGACGUGGGGUCCCAUGUGGGGGUGCAUCCCUGGAUCCGGGUAGUUGUAUUCCUAAUCAUUGACUUUGCUAAUCGAGAGGUUGUUAGUACGACCUGUACAGUCGUAUAUAGCUGGUGAUCAGGGUAUUCUCCUACAGGAUGUAAUUAGAUCCGGAUCGCCGCAAUUCUCGGUUAUGAAUGCACUUGAUCGCUGUUAAGCUUCGUAGUAUGAACUCAUGCGAUAUAAAAUCUCAUGUUGCCAAGUACUGUAUGAUUUAACAGCUGUGGUUGUUUUUACUUCUGCUAUUAUUUAGAAUGGUUAGGUAAUAACUUAACCCAAAUAAAAGAUAAAAGUAAGGUGUCACUUGUAGUAAGCUUUUCGGCAAAAAUUGCAUUAGCCAAGUACACCAAAAAGCUAAGCAUACUCUUCCAAAGAAAGCUAUUAUAUUGGUUAGUCGGGUAAGACUUGCUGAGUACUUCGUACUCAGGGGAUCCCUUGUUGUUGUUUUCAGAAACCCAGCAGGGACUCACCGAAGAGGAAGCUCUGAAGAUCUAGAGUAUCUUAUGAGUCUCAUGAUACUCUAGAAUAAAACUUAAAUGUUUGCUUUUCUUCCGGACUGGUUCAUAUUUUAAAUUCUUAGAAACACACUAACCUGCACUAUUAAGUUUGUUUCAAACUAUGGUUGUAAUAUAUCGUACCUUGGUUAUGUCUUUAAAAAUGUAAUAUUUGUUGAUAUUAUCCCAUCGCGGAUAUUAUCCUGAUGUAUGGCUAUGAAACACGUCGUGGAUCCUUCGAGGAGUCCUAGGGACACUCGACGGACUACCAGACUUAUGCUGUUUUAG
rnacentral:lncRNA from 1 species